rnacentral:miRNA from 1 species
UGAGGCAGGAGAAUUGCUUGAACCCAGGAGGUGGAGGCUGCAGUGAGCCGAGAUCGAGCCACUGCACUCCAGCUUGGCGACAGAGCGAGACUCCAUCUC